UCAAGAAAGAAAGGGCACAAGGUGGAUGCCUUGGCACAUGAAGGCGAAAAAGGACGUAAGUGAACGAAAACUAGGGUAAGCUCACAAAAAGCACUGACCCCUAGGUCUCCGAAUGGGGCAACCCGGUUGUGGAAGACACAAUCAUUACUAAGUGAAUACAUAGCUUAGUAAGGCGAUACCCUGCGAACUGAAACAUCUAAGUAGCAGGAGGAAAAGAAAGAAACAUCGAUUUUCUAAGUAGCGGCGAGCGAACGGAAAAGAGCCUAACUCAUUAGCGAUUUUUUUAAAGUUAGUCGAAUUAUCUGAAAAGAUAAACCAAAGGAAGUGAAAGUCUUGUAGACGAAAGCUUUAAGAAACGAGAGGGAAAGUAUCACCGGGCACGAGUAACCCGGUGUGAAGAUAGGGGGCCCAUCCCCUAAGGCUAAAUACUAACAUGUGACCGAUAGUGAACAAGUACCGUGAGGGAAAGGUGAAAAGAACCCCGAAAGGGGAGUGAAAUAGAACCUGAAACCUAGUGCCUACAAGCAGACAGAGCGUGAGCGAACGUGAUGUCGUACCUUUUGUAGAAUGGGCCAGCGAGUUAUUCUAUAUUGCAAGGUUAAUGAUUUAAGAUCAGAAGCCGUAGCGAAAGCGAGUCUUAAUAGGGCGAAAGUAAGAUGGAAUAGACCCGAAACCGGGUGAUCUAUCCAUGGUCAGAGUGAAGUUGAAGUAAAAUUCAAUGGAGGCUCGAACCGGGUGCGGUUUAAAACGCAUCGGAUGAACUGUGGAUAGGGGCGAAAAACCAAACGAACCCGGAGAUAGCUGGUUCUCCUCGAAAUAGCUUUAGGGCUAGCCUCUGACCUAAGAUUUUAGGGGGUAGAGCACUGAAUGGUCUAGGGCGGAUUACCGUACCAAAACCUAUCAAACUCCGAAUACCAAAAAAUCAAGUCAGGGAGUCAGACUUAGGGGGAUAAGCUUCUAAGUCGAAAGGGAAACAGCCCAGACCGACAGCUAAGGUCCCAAAAUUUGAAUUAAGUGGAAAAGGAUGUGAAUCUACUAAGACAACCAGGACGUUGGCUUAGAAGCAGCCAUGCAUUUAAAGAAUGCGUAAUAGCUCACUGGUCAAGUGGGUUUGCGCCGAAAAUGAACGGGGCUAAAUUCAAUACCGAAGCUUCGGAUUAAUAGAGGAAUUAAGUUUACAAAUGAGACUAGGAAAUAUUUAACAAAAACAAAAACAGAAGAGAUUAAGAAAUACAAAUUUCAGACGCAGACAUAAAGAUAGGAUAUUAAAGAUAAGAUAUUCAAAAAACACAAGUCUAAAGUUAAAGUAGGUAUCAUAAGAAAUUAUGAACUAACAAUCACUGGUUAGAGUUAAAAAAACUAGGGCUCAUAGCUAAACUUAAUACCUCUAUUAGUGGUAGAGGAGCAUUGUAUUAGAGACGAAGCCAAGGCGAAAGCAAAAGUGGAUUUAAUACAAGAGAGAAUGCUGGCAUGAGUAGCGAGAAGGGAUGUGAGAAUCAUCCCCGUCGAAACCCUAAGGUCUCCUGAGCAAGGCUCGUCCCCUCAGGGAAAGUCGGGACCUAAGCCAAGGCCGAAAGGCGUAGGCGAUGGAUAACAGGUUUAUAUUCCUGUACCGCUUGAAGUCGAUAUGAGAGAAGUGAUGACGCAAGAGGAUAAUCAAAGCCAUCUGAUGGAUGAUGGUCUAAAGUCGUAGGAAGAAAGGUAGGCAAAUCCGCCUUUCACAAAUUCUGAAAGCCGAUAGGUAUCGAAAACAUAAGUAGAGAAGUUGAUGACUCCAUGUUGCCAAGAAAAGUCACUAUCCAGACCAAAGCGCCCGUACCAAAACCGACACAGGUAGGGAGGUAGAGAAUACCAAGACGCGCGGAAGAACCUUUGUUAAGGAACUCGGCAAAAUGUCCCCGUAACUUCGGGAGAAGGGGAGCCAUAGAAAUAUGGCCACAGAAACCAGGCCCAAGCGACUGUUUACCAAAAACACAAGUUUCUGCAAAAUCGCAAGAUGAAGUAUAGGAGCUGACACCUGCCCGGUGCUGGAAGGUUAAGGGGAAGGCUUAGAGCAAUCGAAGGCUAGAACUUAAGCCCCAGUAAACGGCGGCCGUAACUAUAACGGUCCUAAGGUAGCGAAAUUCCUUGUCGGGUAAGUUCCGACCCGCACGAAAGGUGUAACGA
rnacentral:rRNA from 1 species